rnacentral:rRNA from 1 species
UACGUAGGUGGCAAGCGUUGUCCGGAUUUACUGGGCGUAAAGAGCGUGUAGGCGGCCGCACAGGUCCGUUGUGAAAACUGGAGGCUCAACCUUCAGACGUCGAUGGAAACCGUGCGGCUAGAGUCCGGAAGAGGAGAGUGGAAUUCCUGGUGUAGCGGUGAAAUGCGCAGAUAUCAGGAAGAACACCCGUGGCGAAGGCGGCUCUCUGGGACGGUACUGACGCUGAGACGCGAAAGCGUGGGGAGCGAACAGG